UACGAAGGGGGCUAGCGUUGCUCGGAAUCACUGGGCGUAAAGGGUGCGUAGGCGGGUCUUUUAAGUCAGGGGUGAAAUCCUGGAGCUCAACCCCGGAACUGCCUUUGAUACUGGUAGUCUUGAGUUCGAGAGAGGUGAGUGGAAUUCCGAGUGUAGAGGUGAAAUUCGUAGAUAUUCGGAGGAACACCAGUGGCGAAGGCGGCUCACUGGCUCGAUACUGACGCUGAGGUGCGAAAGCGUGGGGAGCAAACAGG
rnacentral:rRNA from 1 species